GAUGAACGCUGGCGGCGUGCUUAACACAUGCAAGUCGAACGGGAUCCAAGAAGUGCUUGCACUUUUUGGUGAGAGUGGCGAACGGGUGAGUAACACGUGAGUAACCUGUCCUUUUCUUUGGGAUAAGCUUCCGAAAGGGUGUUUAAUACCUUAUGUUCUGUCUGCCUCGCAUGGGGUGGGUGGGAAAGAUUUUUUCGGUAAAGGGUGGGCUCGCGGUCUAUCAGCUUGUUGGUGGGGUGAUGGCCUACCAAGGCUUUGACGGGUAGCCGAUCUAAGAGGAUGACCGGCCACAUUGGAACUGAGAAACGGUCCAAACUCCUACGGGAGGCAGCAGUGGGGAAUAUUGCACAAUGGGGGGAACCCUGAUGCAGCGACGCCGCGUGAGCGAUGAAGGCUUUCGAGUCGUAAAGCUCUGUCCUAUGGGAAGAUAAUGACGGUACCAUAGAAGAAAGCCCCGGCUAAUUACGUGCCAGCAGCCGCGGUAAUACGUAAGGGGCGAGCGUUGUCCGGAAUUAUUGGGCGUAAAGAGUGCGUAGGCGGCAAAUUAAGUCAGAUGUGAAAACUAAGGGCUCAACCCAUAGAUUGCAUCUGAAACUGAUAUGCUUGAGUCAAGGAGAGGAAAGUGGAAUUCCUAGUGUAGCGGUGGAAUGCGUAGAUAUUAGGAGGAAUACCGGUGGCGAAGGCGACUUUCUGGACUUGAACUGACGCUGAGGCACGAAAGCGUGGGGAGCAAACAGG
rnacentral:rRNA from 1 species